rnacentral:misc_RNA from 1 species
GCCUAGCCGUAAAAUAUUGAUUUACACUUAAAACCGCCAGGGAAUUACGAGCCCAAGCUUAAAACCCAAAGGACUUGACGGUGUCCCACCCACCUAGAGGAGCCUGUUCUAUAAUCGAUUCUCCCCGAUAAACCUCACCACUUUUAGCCUUUUCAGCCUGUAUACCUCCGUCGUAAGCUUACCAUAUGAACGCUAACUAGUGAGCUUAAAGAUCUUUUCAUCAAUACGUCAGGUCAAGGUGCAGCUUACGAAGUGGGAAGCAAUGGGCUACAAUUUCUAACAUAGAACACACGAAAGACUACAUGAAACACAGUCAUGAAGGCGGAUUUAGCAGUAAAAAGAAAAUAGAGAGUUCUUUUUAAUUAGGCGCUGGGACGCGUACACACCGCCCGUCACCCUCUUCAAACGCCCAUAAACGUUAAUUAACACCUAACCGCACAAUAGAAGAGGUAAGUCGUAACACGGUAAGCGUACUGGAAAGUGCGCUUGGACUAACAAAAUGUAGCUUAACCUAAAGCAUCUCGCUUACACCGAGAACAUGUCUGUUAAAUCCAGAUCAUUUUGAGCUAAAAACCUAGCUCAACUUUACACAAAUACCACAACCAAACAACUGUAACUAAACAAAACAUUUUUAAAUUUUUAGUAAAGGCGAUUGAAAAAUAUCUAGAAGCUAUAACAAUAGUACCGCAAGGGAAAAGUGAAAUAAAAAUGAAAUAACUUUAAAGCAAAGCUAAGCAGAGAUUUAACCUCG